rnacentral:lncRNA from 1 species
AGACCUGAAACCAGAACCUGAAAGCAGUCAUCCCCUUCUAGGACCUAACAGACACAGUCAGCAGACACUGACAAGAUAGACAGACAGAGAUCCCACUUUACCUUGCUUGAGCAUCCCUCUGAUACAGUGUCUGCGACCCCUUGAGAAAGGUCUUCCCGGCCAAUGCACCAAAUGUUGGAGUCCAUCAAAAACCUUCACUCACAAAGACCACAGAGAACGCCAUUGCUUCAAUCUGCAAGAGGAUUUUUAUUGAUCCAAUGCUUUGGUGAACCCUCUCAGCAUACAGAACCCAGCCUGAAAAUUCCUUUUUAGUCUUUGAACCAGAAAUUUCAGCUUAACCUGCAUCAAGGCCUCCUCAGCUUGGGGUUUUGGAGACAGGACUUUUCUGUACAUCUUUGGCUAUUCUGGAGCUCCACUUGUAGACCAGGCUAGCCUUGAAAUCAGAUGUUUCCCUGUCUUCCUACCUAAUGAAUGUUGGGAUUAAAUGCAUGCACAACCACUGUC